UGGGGUAGUAGGUUGUAUAGUC
rnacentral:miRNA from 1 species